rnacentral:rRNA from 1 species
UACGGAGGGUGCAAGCGUUAUCCGGAUUCACUGGGUUUAAAGGGUGUGUAGGCGGGCUGUUAAGUCAGUGGUGAAAUCUCCGGGCUCAACCCGGAAACUGCCAUUGAUACUAUCAGUCUUGAAUAUCGUUGAGGUAGGCGGAAUAUAUCAUGUAGCGGUGAAAUGCAUAGAUAUGAUAUAGAACACCGAUUGCGAAGGCAGCUUACUAAACGAUUAUUGACGCUGAGGCACGAAAGCGUGGGGAUCAAACAGG